AGAGUUUGAUCCUGGCUCAGAUUGAACGCUGGCGGCAUGCCUUACACAUGCAAGUCGAACGGCAGCGCGGGGCAACCUGGCGGCGAGUGGCGAACGGGUGAGUAAUAUAUCGGAACGUACCCUGGAGUGGGGGAUAACGUAGCGAAAGUUACGCUAAUACCGCAUACGAUCCAAGGAUGAAAGCAGGGGACCGCAAGGCCUUGUGCUCCUGGAGCGGCCGAUAUCUGAUUAGCUAGUUGGCGGGGUAAAAGCCCACCAAGGCAACGAUCAGUAGCUGGUCUGAGAGGACGACCAGCCACACUGGAACUGAGACACGGUCCAGACUCCUACGGGAGGCAGCAGUGGGGAAUUUUGGACAAUGGGCGCAAGCCUG
rnacentral:rRNA from 1 species